rnacentral:rRNA from 1 species
AUUUUUCCUGUAAUGGUUUUUUGUUUAAAUGUUUUUCGCCUAAGGAUGGGUCUGCGGCCGAUUAGGUAGUCGGUUAGGUAACGGCUUACCAAGCCGUUGAUCGGUACGGGUUGUGAGAGCAAGAGCCCGGAGAUGGAACCUGAGACAAGGUUCCAGGCCCUACGGGGUGCAGCAGGCGCGAAACCUCCGCAAUGUGAGAAAUCGCGACGGGGGGAUCCCAAGUGCCAUUCUUAACGGGAUGGCUUUUCAUUAGUGUAAAAAGCUUUUGGAAUAAGAGCUGGGCAAGACCGGUGCCAGCCGCCGCGGUAACACCGGCAGCUCUAGUGGUAGCAAUUUUUAUUGGGCCUAAAGCGUCCGUAGCCGGUUUAAUAAGUCUCUGGUGAAAUCCUGUAGCUUAACUGUGGGAAUUGCUGGAGAUACUAUUAGACUUGAGACCGGGAGAGGUUAGAGGUACUCCCAGGGUAGAGGUGAAAUUCUGUAAUCCUGGGAGGACCGCCUGUUGCGAAGGCGUCUAACUGGAACGGUUCUGACGGUGAGGGACGAAAGUUAGGGGCGCGAACCGGAUUAGAUACCCGGGUAGUCCUAACUGUAAACGAUGCGGACUUGGUGUUGGGGUGGCUUUGAGCUGCUCCAGUGCCGAAGGGAAGCUGUUAAGUCCGCCGCCUGGGAAGUACGGUCGCAAGACUGAAACUUAA